GCGCCUGUGAUGGAAUUGGUAGACAUGCAGGAUUUAGGUUCCUGUGCAGCAAUGCGUGCGGGUUCGAGUCCCUUCAGGCGCACCA
rnacentral:tRNA from 1 species